rnacentral:rRNA from 1 species
UACGUAGGGGGCAAGCGUUGUCCGGAUUUAUUGGGCGUAAAGAGCGUGUAGGCGGUUUGGUAGGUCCGUUGUGAAAACUCGAGGCUUAACCUCGAGCUGUCGGCGGAAACCAUCUGGCUAGAGUCCGGAAGAGGAGAAUGGAAUUCCCGGUGUAGCGGUGAAAUGCGCAGAUAUCGGGAAGAACACCCGUGGCGAAGGCGGUUCUCUGGGACGGUACUGACGCUGAGACGCGAAAGCGUGGGGAGCGAACAGG